GGGAAGGCGGCGACCGCCUGCACGUUCCACGAAACCGCGCUCGCUCCACCUGCGUCCUCCUGGGACAGUGACUAGGGCGCCGCGCCCCUCGCGCCUAGCUCCCGCAGCCUGCGCUGGUCCAGUGCUGAGGAUUGAACCCAGUGCCCUGCAUGUGCUAGGAUGGGAUGAGGGAGCUCAGAAUCACCAGGAAGUGUGACAGUCCAGCAUGAUAUCUUUGAGCCACAGCAGUGAAAAAGCUGACUAAAACACCCAUCCUACUGCCAAAAAACACCACUAACAUUCCCAAAGCACUCAAGUCUUCACACUUCAGUAUUUCCUCCUCCCUGGGUGUGCUGGAACUGGCUUGGAUCUGUUCAUGAGACCAACUGUGCACAUCUCUUCUCAGCUCUGUGUUCAGGAUCAUACUUCAGUGUUGUGCCCUGGACUUGAGACAAUUAGAGACGACUAUGGAAAUAGGAUUUGGAGCUCUGGAAGGAAGCAUAACAUUUCCCUGAUAUUGGGACUAGUUUGUUUCAAUUCUAUAACUUAAACCUUAUUGUUUUUUGCUGUGAUAAAUAACAUUUUUUUCUUUAAAUGUAUUUAUGAAGAUGCUGAGACCAUUUGUGAUCCUGUACUUCUUCCUGUGAUGAUUUGUUUAAUAUCUGUCUCAUUAGACUGAAUCAGAAGUGAAAAAUAUAGCUUCUGAGAAAUAGAAAAAAGAAUUUUAAGAAGUGAAAAUCAAUAUAAUAAAAUGGUUUGUAGCAUAAAAUUAUUACUAUAGCAAUUAACAGUUAAUUACAUUUGCUGUGUAUCAAAUGCUGUACUAAACAGUUGGUAAAAUUUUAAUUCACAUAAUAAAUAUUUGAAUCAGAUCUUGAUAUUGACCAGAAUUUAUAUCUGAGGAAAUGCGCCUUUGAAAAGUUAAGCAACUUAAAAGUUAAGAAGAGCAAGAAGCAGAUCUCAUUGCCAACAGGUAGCAGAAGGGAGCUCAUGAUAGCAAGGCCACAUGCCUGUGAAAUACUCUAUACUUCUCUCAUUUUUAUGCUCCCCAAAUUUCUUUGUAAUUUCUGUUUCUGGCAGAGUCUGAGUCUAGCAUAUUUAACAUUUUAUUCUCAGAACCAAACUAAGUGUUUGGCGUCCAAUAGUAGUAGCUCAACAAUAUUUGCCAAAUGAAUGAAUCUGUGAGUCAAAGAAUCAGUAAACUUAUGAAGCAACAGGAUUUAAAAAUUAAGGAGAAAAAUAAUAGAUUGCUAACAUUCCUUAAGGAUUACAUCACAGAUUCCUGUUCUUUGACAUGAUUAUCCACACUUGGCUUUUCAAAGAGGCUGCAGUUAUAAAGCCCACAGAAUGAUACAUGUAUUUGGCAUGGAGCUGGCUUCUCUAAGUAGGGCACUCAAGUGUUCUCUGUUGACAAGAAGCUGUGUAACUCUUUGGCCAGAAUCUAGAAAUGACAACUGGAGAUUAUGAGUUAAUGCUUCUUAAGAGUGAGGAUGACCCUGGCAUCAGGACAUUCUUAAAUAAACUGUCACUGUGGUGGGCCAUUUUUUUUCCACCUUCUUUAUUUUUUAGGGAGUUGCUCCCAACCCAAAUAAGAACAAACAAAAGAUUCAGUGCAGCUGGUUUAGGAUAAACUGAUCCCACACUCUCACCCUUGAUUAACAGAGCACAACCUUGGGAGCACUAUGUUGGAUUUAUUAGAGUGAAGUAAGGGUAAAAACAGGGGAGGACUAGUGAUUCAACCAGUUAGAAGAGCUCAAUAUACUCAAAACCACUUGGUAUAUUUAACCAAGUGAAAAUUGACACUGAGGUUUUUUUAUACAGCCCAUUUAUAAAAUUUAUCUGGAAGAAUGAAAUGAUGGAGGAUGGAUGGAGGGAUAGAUGGAGGGAUAGACUCAGUAAUGGCAAACAGGCUAGAAAAAAAGGCUUUCACUAAGAAAACCCAGAAAAAGCAUAUAAUGUUUUAAUUCUUCAAAUAUAUUUUUAAAGUAAGAGCAAAAUUUACUACAUGUUUGACAUAUAAAACAAUUUAUAGUUUUUUUUAAAUGGUGUCUUGGGGAUGAGUAUGAUUUAGUUAGUGUGAUGACAAGUUUGUUUUUACUUAUCAAUUAGCACUUGGCAAGAGAUUUAAAAGAGCAGCUGGAAUUACAAGAUUAGAAAGUUCAUGAGACAUCAGGACUAAAGAUCAAGAUUUGGGGGGUCAUUAACAUUGACAAGAUGAUUAAAGGCAUCAAAACAGUUACAUUUGCUAAGAGAAGAACAAGAAGCUGAUUAAGAUUUAGGAACACACACAGAAAAGGGACAGGUGGACGGAACUGUAAUUACAGGGAUGAUCACAAAGUUUAUGUUCAGAACUAUAGAAGUCAAAGGAUUGAAAUGGGACAAUAGUUAAACUUGUUUCCUAGGACAAUAGAAUUCAAAAGGGAGAUUAAGAAAAUAUUUGAAUUUGUCUAGAAGGAAAGUCCCUGCUAUGCAGAAUUCUGACAUGGGCAGAAGGUGAUGAAGCAGUGGUUGAGGUUAAGGAAGGUGAUAAAAGUGUGCAUGGCUCCUAUAAGGACUGUGGGUUUAAGGAGAAGGAAAGAAGCAUAAUAGUGGGAAAUGUUAAGGGCAUUAGGUUAACAAAAUUUAAAAGGCGGAGAUAUAAUAAAGAAGAAUCUAAUCUUCCUGAAUUCUAAACUACUCCCUUAUGAUAAAUUAGUAGCCUUGGGGCGCUCAUUAACCCUGCUGGGGCACUAGGGUAUUGUUCCAUGUGUUGUAGCUGCAGUGCCUGCCUGACAAGGCAUAGAGGUGAUUAUUCAUAGCACUAGGAAAAAUCACUUCCUGUCAUACUGGAGAAACUCCCUAGGAAAAAAAAAGACAGCACUUUAAGUAACAGAAGCAGCGGCAUCUGCUUUUCUAGGGGAACAGAUAUUUGGAAAUAACUGUCGAAUCUUUAAGCAAAAUGUUAAUCUGCCAAUUUCAUAUUUUAAACCACUGAGCCAUUCUUGUAUCAUCUUUAAGCCUCAAUCUCUUCAUUUGUAAAAUAAGGAGUUUGGAGUUGAUGGCCUAAAAGGAAACUUUUAGUCCUCAAACCUCUGUAUUCUCUGAUUCUUCCCUUCUAACAUCAUUGCCCAUGAAGAAAGGAAAGGUAACUAUGACACAGAAUGCAGUGGUGCAAUUAAGAAGACAAAGGAAAUGUCUGUCUUUUUUCCUCUAUUUCCCUUCAGAUUCUACCCUUCAGUCUGAAAAAUGCACCUUGAAAACCUCCUCAUGAAUCCUAUGAACGUUAAAACUCCAUAUAGAUCUUAUGAAUGCUAAAGUUAUGAAAAUAUCUACAUAGCAAUCCUUGACUUUUUAUAUAUCAUGUAGCUCCUAGUGUCCAUUGUAUGGGGGGGUUCAAGAUUCCCAGAAACAAAGGAGACCUCUAUUUGAAACUUCCAGGUUCUUGACUCCAUCAGAGAAAAGAGUUUAAGGACGAGUCAGUCUAACAAAGAAAUGCUGGAGCACUAGGGUAGGAAGGAGAAAAUCUACCCUGUCAGUGUGUGGGCAAUCUCAAGAGUAAGAUGUGCAGCCAUGGCCUAAGGUCAAGUUUUUACUAAAUUAGGGUACAUUAUUAGGUUGAAUAUGUAAACUGUGAAGGGCUGGGAAUCUCACAGCUGGUAAAUAUUGAUUGAAACCAUGUUCUCCACUAGAGGAUCUGGUCUGGUAUGAAAGUUUCAGCUUAUAUCACUGCCUGUGGCAAUUGGGUGGUCAAUCAGAUGGCUGGGAAAAAGUGUCAUGAUUCAAUCAAAUGCUAGCCUCAAGAUUCACAAGGUUAAUAGUCUCUUUCUAAUUGUCUUGUUCCUGUUUUGCUAUAUUCCAAAAAACUUAUAAAGAACCAGAAAGUUACAAAGUAAUUUAUGGUUUUUUUAGUGUACCCUUACUUUUUUUUAGCUGCCUUUGCCUGGAUCAUGAGUUGUUUGUUCUAUAACUUAAUGGCAAUAUUUUUUCCUUCAGAGACUUAGUGCUCUUUGUGUAUCCCAAAAUUUCUAUCUCAUUAAGAUCUCAUUAGGAUACUUGUAAAUAGGAUUAUUAUCAGUAACAAUAUUAUAAAAGAAGUAAUAAUAAAACUUACACUAAAAUUA